rnacentral:lncRNA from 1 species
AAUGUUCUAAAAUGAAGUUUUGUGGAGCCCAGAGAAAAUAUUUUCUGUGUGAUGCAGAACAUAAAAAAUGAGUUUCCUGUGUUGAAGCAUGUCUUAUAAGAGUGAAACCUCAUAAUUAUGUUUUUUGAGCAAUACUUAUUUAAAAAAAAUAAUAAAGAGAAAAUUUUAGGAAGCAGAUACACAACUAGGGAGAAGAGAAGAAAAAACUGAAAAGACCAAGCCAAUGCCAAGGCCUUGGGGAGAGGGGGAGGGUGAUAUGCAGACCUUCCCUGGUAACCAAAGAUGGGCAAACCCCAACCGCUAAGCGGUGAGGCCACUAGCUGGCCCUCAGAUUGGAGAGUACAAAAACUGAGUGACUGACAAGACGGUGAGCGUCGUGGCCCCGUGCACAAACCCACAGAGGGGUAGUUGGUACAUAGGGGACGUGGGGAUGAGGGUCCAGUAGAGCUCCCUGCCCCGUCCAGAGGGAGUGGAGUGGGAGGGGAGCGAACGCGUUGGUGACGCGGGGCGCUCACGUGACGUGGAGCUGCAGAGCAACUCAGCCUUCGGUGCAGUCGUCACUCCCGUCUGGGUACCUGCUCCCAGCUGUUCUGCGCCCGGCGGGCUGGCAUCAGUCCCGAGGAAAGCGGAGCAGGACUGCAGGCCUAGGUGUCAAGUGUCGCGGCGGCGCCCACACGGCGAGAAUCGGGAGAAGGAGGAGACAGCAAGGAUAGGCCCAGGA